ensembl:lncRNA
CUUUGAGAGAGUCUUAGUAACAGCCUAGAGGUGUCCCCUGAGGCGUUGGGGGAAGUCCAAUGGGGACCAGCCCGGGGUGGAAACCUGCUGCUGCUCCUGCUGCCCCAGCCUGGAUUGUGGAGGAACGAAAAAGGUGGAUAAAAAGGCAAACAUCCAAGAAGAGGGACUCGUGGGGUGAGGCAGGAAACAGAGUUGUCCAGGGAGCUUGUUCAUAACCGGAGCCCAGCGUCUCUUGAGCAGAGACUGGGAUGGUAAAGUUCUGUGGCUCCAAGACCCGUGGGGUUUGGAAGGAAGGUCCACAGCCCCAGAAAGUGAAAUUGCCCCUCUUGGAGGAAACAAGAAGAUGGCCACCUGGUUCCUCAGAGGCUGAUGGGAGAGACUGAAUGAGCCAGGUACCCUAACAGGCUGUCUGCAUCGGUCUACAGAAUACACCAGACUGCUUAUGGAAAUGGAGAUCACUGAGUUCAGUCUGUGUAUGUUUUGGGUAUGGAUAACACUGAAAAUUGUCACAAGCUAUUUUACUUCGCUGCAACGCAUGGUCUGGAAAUGGGAUUUGGCCUGCCUCCUUCAGACCCAAGCAUGUUAUUUCAAAGUGUCCUCCAAGGCCUCUUUCCUAGAUCAGGGUAACUCCCUGACCCUGUGACAGAGAAAGAAAACAACAAAACACCCCAGGGAAAAAGACAUUAUGUCCUCUUGAGAACCGGUAAGAGCUAAGCGGGUUCCUAAUGGAAGCUUCUCUUGUUUACCUCAUGGUAUAAGGUGUGUGUAUUAAAACCAGCUAACAGGAUGCUCAGACAGGAAAAGGAUAAAAGGGACCCUUUGUCUAAAAUCUCUCGAUAACUCCAACAUCAUAGUUUGAAGAGGACUCCCUCAGCUAAAUUGUUAUAUGUUGUUAAUAUAAAUUUAAUAACGUUAUGAUUUUAAAAAAACAAACCCUCUACAUACUGCAUAACUUAUUUUUUUUUCUUUUUCUUUUUUCUUUUUUUUUCGGAGCUGGGGACCGAACCCAGGGCCUUCCGCUUGCUGCAUAACUUAUAAAGGCUACUUUACGUUUUCUGUAAGGUCUACCUGGAAACUUACAAGGCUUAGUGGCUUUACAGUAUGUACAGAGAUAAUUAUUCGUGUCAUUCCCUGUGACCUCCUUUUAUUAAGGUGAUAUUGUGCGAUAACUUUGGAAUUGAACACCUGCCACCUUCAGGAUAUGAGCUAUGCCUGCUUAAAAGCAUUGCAGCUGGGCUCCUUCAAAUGUUAAUAUUCCCCCAAGAAAAGGGGAGAGCGGUAAGGUCACUGGACCUUCACCCGAGUGUCUAGUCAUAGUUCCCAGCUGGGUCUGUGCAAUAGGCCCUAAUUAUACGAAGUCUCAAGGUUUUCUGAGUGUGCAGGCUAAAGACUAGAAGUGGAAAGGAGGAGGCCUCCCUAUACAACAAGAAGAAAGUUGUUACAUAUAUUGAGUUAAGGCUCCAGAAAGCCAUUGUAUAUACUGAUUAAAGGCCCCAGUUAUUGCCUGCUAACUCCCCUUGGGAAAUUUUAUUACUACAAAUGAUUAGUUUAUUUGUUAUUUUUAUACAUCACUCUCUCUAUGUAUUGCUGUUCUUGUUCGUUUUGAGACAGUGUUUCUCUAUGUAGCCUGGAACUUGGCUUUGUACUCCAAGAUGGCCUAUAACUCAGAAUUCCUCCUGCCUCUGCCUCUCAACUAAUGGAACUAUAGGCUUAUGCUACCAGGGCCAGCUAGUAUGUGUGUGUGCGUGCCUGUGUGUGUGUGUGUGUGUGUGUGUGUGUGUGUGUGUGUGUGCAAAAUUACAAAUGUCUAGCUCUCAGAAUACCUUCUUGGUUCUCAGAAUACCUUCUUGGUUCUUGCCAACUUAAAACUUAUAACAACCAAAAAAAGUAAAUAGUUGAAAGUCCAUAUACAGGAAAUCUUAAUUUCCUACAACCAGUCAUAUAUAAAUUCCUUAGAUUAUAAUGGUUUAUUCAUGUUAACAAAAUCUGACUUAAAGAUUAAGUCUAAUCACCUCAUGUCUUUGCUAACCUUGUUAAGCUUUUGCUGUUUGGAAAAAAUAUAUAUACAACCCUGUGAUGUUUGUAAAAGAAUACCAUAAAAGGCUUGGGAAGGGCUAGAGAGAUGGCUCAGUGGUUAAGAGCGCUGACUGCUCUUCCAAAGGUCCUGAGUUCAAAUCCCAGCAACUGCAUGGUGGCUCACAACCAUCUGUAAUAAGAUCUGAUGCCCUCUGGUGUGUCUGAAGACAGCUACAGUGUACUUAUAUGAAAUAAAUAAAUUAAUCUUUAAAAAAAAAAAAGGCUUGGGAAAAUGAGGUUCCCAGUCUCUUCGUGGAAUGUACCUGUGGUUUAAAGUUUAUUUUAAUACUAGAAGAGCUUGAAGUCAAAAUGUUGCAUGCCCCUUUAAUCCCAGCACUUGCAAAGCAAAUGCAGGUAGAUCUCAGAGUUUGAGCCCGGCCUGGUUUACAGUGAGUUCCAGGACAGCCAGGACUACACAGAGAAAUCCUGUCUUAUAAAAUCCUAAUCUUAUGAGAGUUACUAACUUAUUAUAAACUUUUAAAAAAGGUUAAGACAUAAAAGUUAAUGAUCGGGGCUGGGGAUUUAGCUCAGUGGUAGAGCGCUUACCUAGGAAGCGCAAGGCCCUGGGUUCGGUCCCCAGCUCCGAAAAAAAGAACCAAAAAAAAAAAAAAAAAAGUUAAUGAUCAGGGCUGGAGAGAUGGCUCAGCGGUUAAGAGCACUAGUUGCUUUUCCAGAGGUCCUGAGUUCAAUUCCCAGCACCCACAUGGUGGCUCACAACCAUCUGUAAUGAGAUCUGAUGCCCUCUUCUGGUGUGUCUGAAAAGACCAACAGUGUAGUCACAUACAUUAAAUAAACAAAUAAAACUCUAAAAAAAAUUUAAAGCAAAUUAACCUUAAGUUAGGGUUGGGGAUUUAGCUCAGUGGUAGAGUGCUUGCCUAGCAAGCACAAGGCCCUGGGUUUGGUCCCCAGCUCCGAAAAAAAAAGAACCAAUAAAAAAAAAAAAAUGCACUUGCAUGGCAGGAUGUCCCCAGAUCCAAGUAGGACCCUUUCUUACCGUUGGAUGGGUAAAUUGCAUGCUACCCUCAUGGCGGACAAGGAUGCAUGGGAAAAUAAGACCUACAGAGGCAGGCCGUUCCUGUGUCUAGUCAAACCAAAAAGAACUUCCUCCUCAUCUACAGGGAAGAUGAAUUUCUGAUCACAUCUCACGUGAUGUCGUGGAUUCUAUUGCCCAGUGGAGGAUCUCAGAGUCUGCACCCAUUUCCGAAAUGUGUCAAAUAACAGAGAGGCAGAUGGUAAUUCCUCUGCCCUCAAUGUCUCUCCAACUGACACAUGAGGAUGCUGUGAACAGGGGAAGCUUGAGCAUAAGCUGCCCCCUGGGCUGGAGUGGAACCUGAGUGCUGGUUGUCCAUGCCUUUUACUCUGGCUGUCAAACGUUCCUUUUUGCCAGAGCUAAUUCCAGGGUCCACACCCUAACCACCGCUGUUCCCUGAUUAAAGGAGGCGACCAGGUGCUCUGCCAGCCAACUCCCAGCUUUGUAAAGUUAUUCAGGACACGGCAGCGGUGUCUUUGAGAACCUUGCUAGACAAUCCUAUAAAAAUCCACUCCUCGAAUUGUUUCUCCCCCCC